rnacentral:rRNA from 1 species
AACGAACGCUGGCGGCAUGCCUAACACAUGCAAGUCGAACGAGACCUCCUGGUCUAGUCGCGCACGGUUUCGUCACGCGUGGGAACCUUCCCUUAGGUUCAGCCUAACUCCCCGACAGGGGUACUAAUACCGGAUAAUAUCUUCUGACCAAAGAUUUAUCGCCGUUGGAUGGGCACGAGUUGGAUUAGCUAGUUGGUAGGGUAAAAGCCUACCAAGGCGACGAUCCAUAGCUUGUGCGCGGGGAUGAGCAGCACAACUGGAACGGAGACACGGGCCAGACACCUACGGGAGGGAGCAGAGGGGAAUAUUAGACAAUGGGCGAAAGCGUGAUCGAGCAAGGGCGCGUGAGUGAUGAAGGCGGUAGGGUUGUAAAGCUCUUUUACACGGGAUGAUAAUGACAGUUACGGGAGAAUAAGCUCCGGGCAAAUUAGUGG